CACGAGGUGAUUACAACAACUACUACCGUGGGGCUGCAUCGAUGUGGAGGGAUGGCGUCCAGUUUCGUUCUGAAUUUUCUUACCUAGCAACGGCAAGUGAAGCCCAUCAACGACAGUAUAAGGUGUAAGCAGAGCUAGAGGACCACGAUCCUGAGGGAGAAAGAAUCUGUAACCGUGUGAGCUGGGCGACAGAAGGAGUCUCUUUGCAAUGAGACAAUGUCGGUAAAGACACUGUUGAAAGGGGCAAAACAAUGGUGGCAUGGCGGUCGAGGACUUGAAUCUAUGGAUCACAGCAUGCUGUCACUCGGGCUUGAAAUUCAAAAAAGGAUUUUUACAAACAAGUUGCAGAGCUAAGCGAGCCUGGUACUGUGAGCGAGAAGCUGAAGCUUUCAAGCAUCAGGUUUACCCUACGAAGAUCACGCACCGACUGGUUACGUUAUGCUAGCUUUUUAGUGUCGACGCUUACUGAAGCAUGAAGAUCAAGGAUUGCAUUUAUUAAAAUUAUAUUGUGAUACA
rnacentral:lncRNA from 1 species